CUCCCUGGUACCAUACCCCAGCCGAUGAGUAUGUACCCCCAGAAGUACUUCCGCUCAGAGAAGAAGGAGACGGCAAGCAGGGUGUACAGGGAAGGCCUCCCUCUCCAGGACUCCUUUAGAUUUCCCCAGCAUCCAGACCUCACCUGCCUAAGUGCUGUUGCCCUGGAAGCCACACAGUGAGCACGAGCUCCAUCUUGCCCCUUUACCAGCCAAUGGGGGUAAAGACAUUAGCUGAAAUGCUUCUAAGGGGCCAGGCGUGGUGACUCACGCUUGUAAUUCCAAGCACUUUGGGAGGCUGAGGCAGGUGGAUCACCUGAAGCCAGGAGUUCAAGAGCAGCCUGGCCAACAUGGCGAAACCCUGUCUCUACUAAAAAUACAAAAUUUAGCCAGGCAUGGUGGCGGGAGCCUGUAAUCUCAGCUCCUAGGGAGGCUGAGCCAGAAGAAUCACUUAAACCCGGAAGCUGGAGGUUGCAGUGAGCCAAGAUCACACCACCACACUCCAGCCUGGGUGACAGAACAAGACUCCAUCUCAAAAAAAAAAAAAAAAAAAAAAAAG
rnacentral:antisense_RNA from 1 species